GGUAAAGUUACCAACGUGCGAGCGUAAAUGCUUUACCUUUUUUACAUGGCUUUCAGUAGCAGUCAAUGACUGAACGGAUAAUGUUAACUAAGAAGAUUAACAUGAGUUUUUGAGGCUAAAGGCGGUCAUAUUCACUCACCGAACAAUAGAUCGGACCGAACAAUAGAUCGGACAACCGAUUUGGUAGUCAAACUGACACAGUUGAAACAAAUAAAGGUUGAGAUUGCUUAACUGAUGGUUGCAUUGUUACCUUGUUCGAGUUUGUGUGAAUGACCAAAGACGCCCUCUACACCCCAAACUGGCUCCGAGCCCAAGAGCAUUUACACUCAUCCUUUAAUAAAUAGGUCAUGAGAGUUCCCGCACGAUUAAAAAAUCGAAAAGGAACUGGGUUUUUCCAUUUACAGGAACUCGUGCUUCGUACAGGUCA